GGAAGAGGAGGAGACAACACAACGUACCCCUCGCUCAGACAAGAAGAGGUACGGAGAAGAAACGAGGGAGGAAGGAGUCUUGACUCUGAGGAGGAAGAGGAGGAGACAACACAACGUACCCCUCGCUCAGACAAGAAGAGGAGUCGCCGUAGUUCCCAGAGCACGACCCGUAUGACUUCGCUGGAGAGAAGGACAUCCCUGAGAGUAGGAACCAGAAUGCUUCUUUAACUCUAUACAAUAUGUGCAAAGCACUGUGGGCUCGAUUCUGACUUAAGAUGAGUUCACUUAACAUGGGCUUCCGUCAACAUUUUUCUUGACUGAUGUCCAUGUCACGUCAACUCAUCUCAAGUCGGAAUAGAGCCGUUUAUGAUUCUAAUUGAUUCUCAGUUUCGGGAAUUGUUACCAUACUUUGUUUGACCCUCCCUCCCACAGUCCAGGCUGGCACGCCCAAACCGGCUGAGGCAGAAGAGGAGCCUAUGGAUGCCCCUGUCCCACCUAGCAAGGAUGGACAGACUGACGGACAGACUGAGGUGUCUGUAGACAGGUGGGCCUCGCUCGCAUGCAGGACGACAACCGGAUCACGUUGGCUGACGACAUCAUCUUCCUCAUCUGAAGACCUGGGACAACGAGGGAGGAGAGGGAAGAGGUGGGAGGAGAUGGAGGGAGGAGAGGGAGAAGGACAGAAGGAGAAUCAAGUCUGAAUGGAAAGAUGUUGUUUCCCGUUUGAGACCAAAAAGGAUGAGAAGGAAUUCAGAAGAAGAAUUUAAGUAGAUUUUGACUGGUUCUUCUGGUUUUUGGGCCUCUUGCUUCCUCCAGUUAGCCUUUUUUUGGGCAGCAACCACAUAUGGACU